AUUGAACGCUGGCGGCAGGCCUAACACAUGCAAGUCGAGCGGAUGAAGGGAGCUUGCUCCUGGAUUCAGCGGCGGACGGGUGAGUAAUGCCUAGGAAUCUGCCUGGUAGUGGGGGAUAACGUCCGGAAACGGGCGCUAAUACCGCAUACGUCCUGAGGGAGAAAGUGGGGGAUCUUCGGACCUCACGCUAUCAGAUGAGCCUAGGUCGGAUUAGCUAGUUGGUGGGGUAAAGGCCUACCAAGGCGACGAUCCGUAACUGGUCUGAGAGGAUGAUCAGUCACACUGGAACUGAGACACGGUCCAGACUCCUACGGGAGGUAGCAGUGGGGAAUAUUGGACAAUGGGCGAAAGCCUGAUCCAGCCAUGCCGCGUGUGUGAAGAAGGUCUUCGGAUUGUAAAGCACUUUAGGUUGGGAGGAAGGGCAGUAAGUUAAUACCUUGCUGUUUUGACGUUACCAACAGAAUAAGCACCGGCUAACUUCGUG
rnacentral:rRNA from 1 species